AUAUUACUAAGCGGAGGAAAAGAAAUCAACGAAGAUUGCCUCAGUAGCGGCGAGUGAAGCGGCAAGAGCCCAAACUGGAAAUCUUCGCACUGCGUGCGACGAAUUGUAAUCUAAAGAGGGUUCGCUCAACGGGCGGUGGCGCAGAAGUGCCCUCGAACGGGCCGCCAGAGAGGGUGAAAGCCCCGUAUGUGGUGCCACUGCUUAACGAGCGGGACUUCGAAGAGUCGGGUUGUUUUGUAUUGCAGCCCUAAGUGGGAGAUAAACUUCUUCUAAGGCUAAAUAUAUAUGGGAGACCGAUAGCGCACAAGUA
rnacentral:rRNA from 1 species